rnacentral:rRNA from 1 species
AGGAGGCAGCAGUGAGGAAUUUUGCGCAAUGGCCGCAAGGCUGACGCAGCAACGCCGCGUGGGUGAAGAAGGCCUUCGGGUCGUAAAGCCCUGUCAGGUGGGAAGAAUGUUUCGGGGAUGAAUAAGCCCCGGAAGUGACGGUACCACCAGAGGAAGCACCGGCUAACUCCGUGCCAGCAGCCGCGGUAAUACGGAGGGUGCAAGCGUUAUUCGGAAUUACUGGGCGUAAAGCGCGUGCAGGCGGGCCUGCAAGUCUGAUGUGAAAGCCCCGGGCUUAACCUGGGAAGUGCAUUGGAAACUGCAGGUCUUGAGUGUUGGAGAGGAAGGGGGAAUUCCCGGUGUAGAGGUGAAAUUCGUAGAGAUCGGGAGGAAUACCAGUGGCGAAGGCGCCCUUCUGGACGACAACUGACGCUGAGACGCGAAAGCGUGGGGAGCAAACAGGAUUAGAUACCCCUGUAGUCCG